UUCAUGUUGCGUUCGUAUGCGGCCCGACAACCACAAGCUUCUACUGAAACCCUAAUCAGCCUCUACGCUCUCCUUCGUGUUCUUCGCUCACCUUUGAUCGGCGCAGAUGCGAUCCAGAAUCUGUAACGGUUCUCCGAGAGUUAAUGGUCUUAAAUCGUCUUCAAUCGCCAUCCCACUACGAAGCUCUCUCCUGCGCCGUUCGGCUGCUAAAACGUGUAUAAAUAUGCUGCAAUCUCACCGAGGACAUCAAGGAGAAGAUUCCCUAUGUGGCGUUGGAUUAUGAGCAGGAGGUUGAGACAGCCAAAUCAAGCUCUGCAAUCAAGGUAAUGUUACGUGAGACUUUCAAGAUGGAGC